rnacentral:rRNA from 1 species
UACGGGGGGGGUAAGCGUUGUUCGGAAUUACUGGGCGUAAAGGGCUCGUAGGCGGCCAACUAAGUCGGACGUGAAAUCCCUCAGCUUAACUGGGGAACUGCGUCCGAUACUGGAUGGCUUGGAUUUGGGAGAGGGAUGCGGAAUUCCAGGUGUAGCGGUGAGAUGCGUAGAUAUCUGGAGGAACACCGGUGGCGAAGGCGGCAUCCUGGACCAAUAUUGACGCUGAGGCGCGAAAGCCAGGGGAGCAAACGGG